UAAUACAGAGGGUGCAAGCGUUGUUCGGAAUUAUUGGGCGUAAAGGGCGCGUAGGCGGUUCGGCAAGUCUUCAGUGAAAUCUCUCGGCUCAACUGAGAGUCUGCUGGGGAAACUGCCGGGCUUGAGUGUGGGAGAGGAGAGUGGAAUUCCUGGUGUAGCGGUGAAAUGCGUAGAUAUCAGGAGGAACACCUGAGGCGAAAGCGGCUCUCUGGACCACAACUGACGCUGAGGCGCGAAAGCUAGGGGAGCAAACAGGAUUAGAUACCCUGGUAGUCCUAGCCCUAAACGAUGAUUGCUUGAUGUGGUCGGUACCCAAUCCGACUGUGUCGUAGCUAACGCGAUAAGCAAUCCGCCUGGGGAGUACGGUCGCAAGGCUG
rnacentral:rRNA from 1 species